UACGAAGGGGGCUAGCGUUGCUCGGAAUCACUGGGCGUAAAGCGCACGUAGGCGGAUUGUUAAGUCAGGGGUGAAAUCCUGGAGCUCAACUCCAGAACUGCCUUUGAUACUGCGAUCUCGAGUCCGGGAGAGGUGAGUGGAACUGCGAGUGUAGAGGUGAAAUUCGUAGAUAUUCGCAAGAACACCAGUGGCGAAGGCGGCUCACUGGCCCGGUACUGACGCUGAGGUGCGAAAGCGUGGGGAGCAAAC
rnacentral:rRNA from 1 species